rnacentral:rRNA from 1 species
UACGGAGGGUGCGAGCGUUGUCCGGAAUCAUUGGGCGUAAAGGGCGCGUAGGUGGCGGGACAAGCGUGCGGUGAAAGCCUGGGGCUCAACCCCGGGUCGGCCGUGCGAACUGUUUUGCUUGAGCACUGUAGAGGCAGGCGGAAUUCCUGGUGUAGCGGUGGAAUGCGCAGAUAUCAGGAGGAACACCAAUAGCGAAGGCAGCUCGCUGGGACGGUAUUGACGCUAAGGCGCGAAAGCGUGGGGAGCAAACAGG